AGCAGCCGCGGUAAUUCCAGCUCCAAUAGCGUAUAUUAAAGUUGUUGCAGUUAAAAAGCUCGUAGUUGAAUUUCGGGAUUGACACAUCGGUCGUGCCUUAAGGGGUAUGAACUGGUGUAGUCAAUUUCUCACCUUCUGGAGAACCGCGAUGCCCUUAAUUGGGUGUCGCGGGGAACCAGGACCUUUACUUUGAAAAAAUUAGAGUGUUUAAAGCAGGCAUUUUGCUUGAAUACAUUAGCAUGGAAUAAUAAAAUAGGACGGCAUGAUUCUAUUUUGUUGGUUUCUAGGAUCACCGUAAUGAUUAAUAGGGAUAGUUGGGGGCAUUAGUAUUCAAUUGUCAGAGGUGAAAUUCUUGGAUUUAUUGAAGACUAACUACUGCGAAAGCAUUUGCCAAGGAUGUUUUCAUUAAUCAAGAACGAAAGUUAGGGGAUCGAAGACGAUCAGAUACCGUCGUAGUCUUAA
rnacentral:rRNA from 1 species